GGAGGCAGCGGGAUUGUAGUGGCGCGCCUUCCAGAUGGAAAAUGGUCUGCACCCUCAGCCAUUGGGAUAGCUGGCCUUGGUGGAGGAUUUGAAAUAGGAAUUGAGGUAUCAGACUUGGUGAUAAUUCUGAAUUAUGACCGUGCUGUAGAAGCUUUUGCAAAAGGCGGAAAUCUAACCCUCGGAGGGAACUUGACUGUGGCGGUUGGGCCCUUGGGAAGGAACUUGGAAGGAAACGUGGCCCUGAGAAGCUCCGCUGCUGUCUUCACAUACUGCAAGUCGAGGGGACUCUUUGCAGGCGUGUCUUUAGAAGGGAGCUGUUUGAUUGAAAGGAAAGAAACUAAUAGAAAGUCAGUUCAAGUUAAAGUGAUUUUAAUUGAAAGUGUGGUGAGAAAAUAGUACUUCAAAAGUUGAUAUAAUUUGCAGAGUACAUUUAUAUAUUCUUUUUACAACGUGGUUUUAAGUGUGUAUCUUACAUUUAAAAAUUAAAUAUACAAAUAAUAUAUGCUCGUAGAAAAUGCAGAAGACACACGA
rnacentral:sRNA from 1 species